rnacentral:rRNA from 1 species
UCCCGUCAAUUCCUUUGAGUUUUAAUCUUGCGACCGUACUCCCCAGGCGGUCAACUUCACGCGUUAGCUACGUUACCAAGUCAAUGAAGACCCGACAACUAGUUGACAUCGUUUAGGGCGUGGACUACCAGGGUAUCUAAUCCUGUUUGCUCCCCACGCUUUCGUGCUUGAGCGUCAGUAUUGGCCCAGGGGGCUGCCUUCGCCAUCGGUAUUCCUCCACAUCUCUACGCAUUUCACUGCUACACGUGGAAUUCUACCCCCCUCUGCCAUACUCUAGCCCGCCAGUCACAAAUGCAGUUCCCAGGUUAAGCCCGGGGAUUUCACAUCUGUCUUAGCGAACCGCCUGCACACGCUUUACGCCCGGUAAUUCCGAUUAACGCUUGCACCCUACGUAUUACCGCGGCUGCUGGCACAA